UUUAUUUUUAAAUCUCCCCGCUCUCAUCGUAGCUGGAUUGAUGAUUUCUGUGUUUCUCCUUUUAGGAGGUUGACUAGGAUAAGCUGCCAGCCGAAUUUCUCUUUUAUUUUAUUCCAAGUUUUAAUUUAAGACAGGAGAAGUGUGGCGAAGCUUCUUAUUCUGUGUAAUCAUUUCUUGGCACAAAGCAGGGCACUAAUGACCCUACUGGGUCGCAUAGCUCCAAAGGGCAGGGCAUGGGUUGGUGGCAGUGGUGGCAGUGGUGAGCCAUGGCCUGGCCAGUGACAGCCACAACCCAACAGCUGACUGUAAUUCUUCUGUGUGACACAGUCACAGCCUGGCCCACGCCCGGGUUCUGCGCUUGGACACGGAAAUCUGUUGGCAGUGAAACAGGUUCUGAUCACUGAAUCGCUAAAGCCAUGGAAAUCUCCACUGUGUCCCUCAGGCUUGAUUCCAUGAUUUUGAGGCAUGAAGCGUCAUAGAAGCUAUGGAGGAAUGCAGGAAGCCCUGGGACACGGGAUGCUCCCAGCAGUGCCACGGCCAUGGAUACCCGAGCUGCAGGAUUGGACCUGGGCC